rnacentral:lncRNA from 1 species
CUCUAGUAGAUUUAACAGAAUAUGGUGAGUCCAGAAUUAAUGCCUUAGGAACACUAAAAAAUGAUCAAGCAAAUAUCUUUGAUCCAAAAGCUAUAUUUAGUGAGGAUUAUAUAGCUCUUCUUUUAGAAGUUAUAAAAUAUAUUAAUUCUUGAAACCAAAAUGGAUACAAACUACACGGCUAUUCAAAAGGCAAUCUUUGUAAUUAUUUUUUUUAAGGAA